GAUUAGGGUUAGGAUUGGGGUUAGGGUUAGGGUUAGGGCUUAGGAGGGUAGGUGCUAACCUAUGUGCACAGGCCAUCAAUGUUGCUCACUCAACUGGAUUCACUUCUCAUUCAGGCCUUGGGGAUAUGUAGUGCCUAAUUUAUUAAUCCAAAUUCUCUCUGCCCUUUUUCUCUGAAGCACGGACCACUGCAGGUUGGCCUCCAGGACCGUGACCCGGAAGGACCCCCAUCCGUGGCUCAGGAAGUGCUGUACCAGAUAAGUGUUCUUUUCUCUUUCUCUUAGGAUAUUGUAUUUAUGUUGUGUCAUUCUAACCAGAAUGGUGUUGCCCGUCUCUCCCACAUAUUGGGCUCCACAUUGUUUACAGGUGACCAGAUAAAUGCAGUUUUUACUGUGUACCGUGCCUAAUCGGUGAGUAUAGAAAACCUCUUUUGUGAAUUUGUUUUGUACGAAUUCCUUUUGUUCCCAAUAUUGUCCCUGAUGUUUGGGUUUCGUGUUAUGGAGAGGAUGAAGUUUAGCUCUGAUUAGAUGGUCCUGUAAACUUUUGUUUUUUCUGAAUGCUGCAAUGACUUUGUGGUCCUUAAAUAUUUGUGUUUGUCCCAAUAUGCUCUGGAAAUUAGACUUUACCUCUCUGGUCAGUUUCAGAGCGGCCGAGGAGAAUGUCAGGACGAGGGGCACGCUGGUGCCCUCUGCCGGGGUCCCUCUUGUCCGGUAGGAUUUAAAAACCUUCCUCAAGAAGGACCUAUUAUAUCCUCUGGGCCUGAGUGCUUUAAAGAGGGUUUGCGUCGCUUCUGUGAAGUCCUGUUCCCGGGUGCAUAUGCGAUGGAACCUCAGGAGUUGCGACUUAAUAAGGCCGGACACGGACCACUGCAGGUUGGCCUCCAGGACCGUGACCCGGAAGGACCCCCAUCCGUGGCUCAGGAAGUGCUGUACCAGAUAAGUGUUCUUUUCUCUUUCUCUUAGGAUAUUGUAUUUAUGUUGUGUCAUUCUAACCAGAAUGGUGUUGCCCGUCUCUCCCACAUAUUGGGCUCCACAUUGUUUACAGGUGACCAGAUAAAUGCAGUUUUUACUGUGUACCGUGCCUAAUCGGUGAGUAUAGAAAACCUCUUUUGUGAAUUUGUUUUGUACGAAUUCCUUUUGUUCCCAAUAUUGUCCCUGAUGUUUGGGUUUCGUGUUAUGGAGAGGAUGAAGUUUAGCUCUGAUUAGAUGGUCCUGUAAACUUUUGUUUUUUCUGAAUGCUGCAAUGACUUUGUGGUCCUUAAAUAUUUGUGUUUGUCCCAAUAUGCUCUGGAAAUUAGACUUUACCUCUCUGGUCAGUUUCAGAGCGGCCGAGGAGAAUGUCAGGACGAGGGGCACGCUGGUGCCCUCUGCCGGGGUCCCUCUUGUCCGGUAGGAUUUAAAAACCUUCCUCAAGAAGGACCUAUUAUAUCCUCUGGGCCUGAGUGCUUUAAAGAGGGUUUGCGUCGCUUCUGUGAAGUCCUGUUCCCGGGUGCAUAUGCGAUGGAACCUCAGGAGUUGCGACUUAAUAAGGCCGGACACGGACCACUGCAGGUUGGCCUCCAGGACCGUGACCCGGAAGGACCCCCAUCCGUGGCUCAGGAAGUGCUGUACCAGAUAAGUGUUCUUUUCUCUUUCUCUUAGGAUAUUGUAUUUAUGUUGUGUCAUUCUAACCAGAAUGGUGUUGCCCGUCUCUCCCACAUAUUGGGCUCCACAUUGUUUACAGGUGACCAGAUAAAUGCAGUUUUUACUGUGUACCGUGCCUAAUCGGUGAGUAUAGAAAACCUCUUUUGUGAAUUUGUUUUGUACGAAUUCCUUUUGUUCCCAAUAUUGUCCCUGAUGUUUGGGUUUCGUGUUAUGGAGAGGAUGAAGUUUAGCUCUGAUUAGAUGGUCCUGUAAACUUUUGUUUUUUCUGAAUGCUGCAAUGACUUUGUGGUCCUUAAAUAUUUGUGUUUGUCCCAAUAUGCUCUGGAAAUUAGACUUUACCUCUCUGGUCAGUUUCAGAGCGGCCGAGGAGAAUGUCAGGACGAGGGGCACGCUGGUGCCCUCUGCCGGGGUCCCUCUUGUCCGGUAGGAUUUAAAAACCUUCCUCAAGAAGGACCUAUUAUAUCCUCUGGGCCUGAGUGCUUUAAAGAGGGUUUGCGUCGCUUCUGUGAAGUCCUGUUCCCGGGUGCAUAUGCGAUGGAACCUCAGGAGUUGCGACUUAAUAAGGCCGGACACGGACCACUGCAGGUUGGCCUCCAGGACCGUGACCCGGAAGGACCCCCAUCCGUGGCUCAGGAAGUGCUGUACCAGAUAAGUGUUCUUUUCUCUUUCUCUUAGGAUAUUGUAUUUAUGUUGUGUCAUUCUAACCAGAAUGGUGUUGCCCGUCUCUCCCACAUAUUGGGCUCCACAUUGUUUACAGGUGACCAGAUAAAUGCAGUUUUUACUGUGUACCGUGCCUAAUCGGUGAGUAUAGAAAACCUCUUUUGUGAAUUUGUUUUGUACGAAUUCCUUUUGUUCCCAAUAUUGUCCCUGAUGUUUGGGUUUCGUGUUAUGGAGAGGAUGAAGUUUAGCUCUGAUUAGAUGGUCCUGUAAACUUUUGUUUUUUCUGAAUGCUGCAAUGACUUUGUGGUCCUUAAAUAUUUGUGUUUGUCCCAAUAUGCUCUGGAAAUUAGACUUUACCUCUCUGGUCAGUUUCAGAGCGGCCGAGGAGAAUGUCAGGACGAGGGGCACGCUGGUGCCCUCUGCCGGGGUCCCUCUUGUCCGGUAGGAUUUAAAAACCUUCCUCAAGAAGGACCUAUUAUAUCCUCUGGGCCUGAGUGCUUUAAAGAGGGUUUGCGUCGCUUCUGUGAAGUCCUGUUCCCGGGUGCAUAUGCGAUGGAACCUCAGGAGUUGCGACUUAAUAAGGCCGGAGUAAGUGUGUUUGGGGUGGAAACUCCUUUUAUGCAGUAGGGCAUGCGUGUCAGUUUCUUUGAAGAAGACUUUUAUGUCCAAUUUUUGUGUCGAAUUGAAAUCUGGACCUUUGUAAGUCGUGGUGUCUAAAAAGUCUAUCGAUAGCUGACUGGUGGUGUAUUUUAAUUUUAUAGAUGGGUUAUGGUUAUUUAGUGUGGUCACAAAUUCCUUGAAUUCAUCCUCAGAGUGAGUCCAUACUCCCCAGAUAUCGUCCAGAUACCUGAAAUAGUGGAGGGGCUGUUUGUGGCAUCGGGAUAAGGCCGAAGCUUCCCACUCUGCCAUAAAUAUGUUGGCAUAGGCUGGGGCAAACUUCUUGCCCAUCGCCGUGCCUUUGAUUUGCAGGAAAAAUUCCCCGUUAAACUCGAAAUCAUUUCGGUUUAGAUUUAUAUCUAAUAAUCGGAUAAUUUCUUUGUCAGGUCUGGAGGUGUCCGGAUUUCUUUGGAAAAUAUUUUUAAUGGCCUGUAUUCCUUCUUGGAUGUCAAUGUUUGUGUAAAGGCUAUCUAUGUCCAUAGUGAACAAGAUAGCCUUUUGGGGAAUUUUAAGUCCUUUGACUUUCUGGACAAAAUCAUACGUGUCUUUUAUAUAGCUGGGGUGGCCAAUCGAGAGGGGAUUUAAGUAAAAAUCUAAGAAUUCGGCCGUGUAGUACGUUUCACUGCCGCAAUCGGAUACAAUAGGCCUACCUGGGGGAAUUUCGUAGGGUUUGCUCCAUUUAGCUGGGUCUUUGUGUAUUUUGGGGAGCAUGUAAAACCUCCUAUUUCUAGGUUCCCCGUUCCCCAUCAGGUAGGACUUUUGUUUUGCGUUGAUAUAUUUUUUUGAAUAUAGAGAUUGGACUAUAUCUUUAACCAUGGGUAUUGUAUCCAAAUAAAUGGGUCUAUCCAAUUUCUUGUAAUAUUUGGGGUCGUUCAAUUGUCUGUAUCCCUCCCAUAAAUAUUGUUCCCGGUCCCAUAUUACUAUUGCACUGCCCUUGUCUGCAGGUUUAAUGACCAUCUGCUUAUUGUCCUUUAGUUGUUUUAGAGCAUUAAUUUCCGCCGCGGUGAGGUUAGGCUCUUCCCGGGACGGUCUGAAAUAUUUCUUAAAAUAUUCCAGAUCCCUUUCAAAUAACGUGCCAAGUUCUGCGGGUAAUUUGUCUGCAGGUGGGACCCAGUUCGAUUUGGGUGUAAACGGAGGGGGAUUUGAAUCGUCGUCGUUUUGAAAGUAAGAUGCCAAUUUAAGUCUCCUAUGAUAUUGUUGUAGGUCGAAUCGUGUUUGCAUUACAUGGUGUUUUCUGCUCAUUUUGCCAGAUGGAAUGAAGGUCAAACCCCUGUUGAGCAGGCUAAGUUGUGGGGGAGUAAUAUGGAAUUUUUUGGAUAAGAUGACAACAUUUCGAUUCCCCUCCUGUGCAUGCAGGCUUAUGGGGAGAUUUAUUUUAAAUAUUCGAGCCAGUGCUGGAGCAUGUUUCUGGCAGUGUCCACUGUCCAGUGUAUAUUGUCACUUUCCGUGUGGAACUCAGUUCUGGACAGGGCUGGGAUAUGUUUUAGGUUGGCACAGAUAUAGGCGUUCAGGACGGUCAAUUGUGUCUGCUCCCUUGUUGGGAGCAUUCCUGAAAAGUUCACCUCUGGAACCCAAAUUUGUGCCAGAGGGAACUUUUCUUUUGCCGCUCUCAAAGCCGCCUGCAUCUGUUUGAUGGCAGUGUCUUUGGCAUUCUGCGUCCGGCUGUUGAUCCCUAACGCCAAAAUAACGUGUUCCACGUCAGCGGAAGCAGUAUUUUUAUUGAUCACAGCCUCGAUGUGUCUGAACGUAGCCCCCGGGUAACUUUCUAUUUGGAGGUCAGGAUUCUUAAACGGUGGGAUUUUAGACAGAUUGGAGUCUCCGAUAAUGAGCCAUUUUUUUCGGACAGUCAGCUUCCAUUCAACCAUUUUUCUGAUCGUGUUUAUGUGUCUGUUAGGCCCGUCCUCCUGGGAGUCACAUUGUACUCCAGAAGGUGUGUUGAGUUCAACACUCAAACGGGCCUGUGUGGCUGUCCUGAGGCUAGUGACUUUGUCGGGGCUCAGGGUAACUCUUUGUGAGCUGAAAUUGCCCUGUUCGCCUUCCCCUUGGUCCUCAACAAGGAUAAGGUCUGGUUCCUGUCUGACACAGGGGUUGAGACGCACGCGAGGAGUCCGUUGUUCUUUUGGGGAGGCCGGGAAAUUAAACAUAAUGUCUGAACGGCUGUCUGAGUCCUCCUCCCUGACAGGGGACCAGUCGUUCAGCGGGUCUGUCAUGGUGGACGCUGUUUUAGUCGGUUUUAUUACUAAUGGGGUGGAUAUUCCCGAAAGAGAAUGUACAUCCUCCCCAGUGUGCACCGAAGCCUGUACCGUAACGGUUUUAGCCGUUGUGUUUUCUAGGAGAGGAGGAGCAAGAGGGACACUUUGGGUCUCCGCUUCCUCCCUCCUCUCCCCAGAAUCGGUAGCAGGAACAGGAACAGGGGUCUGCCAUUUCUCCCCUACCAACAUAUGAGCCUCAUGUAUUGUUUUGUCCCUCAGUCUUCUACCAAUACCCCGUUUAGCCCACAGAAUGGCCGUAUCAAAGCAUUCCUCCCAGCCCUGGGAAGGAACGUGCUGGAGCUUAGCCAUUUCCUCCACCAAUGCGUCUUCAUAAUGGCUCUUAAGAAUCAGCAUGGUGGUGUAGGCCCAGUUUUUAGCAUUGCCUUCAAUAAAGGCUUGUGUUGUGGGGUUUGGCAAAGCUGGUUUGAUGACCUCCGACAGAUGUUUUUCAAUUUUAUUAAUUGCAGGAGGCUGUUCCUGGCUGAUGUUGUUUUUGUGAUGCACCAAUUUAAUUAUUUUAAAUAAGGCGCGAGUUUUUACUACAAAAUUAGGGUCAUCUGAAUGCUUGGGCUUUAUGUUUUGUUUCUGAUUUGUGUUUUUAUUUUGCAAGUGUGAACGAACUGCCCGUGUUCUGUCCUGCACCCUCUCCCUUGGUUCCUUCGAAAAGGAUUUUUGCCAGAACAUCAAAGUACCGGGUCCUGAACGGGCCCGAGGUUCAAAAAAUUUUGGUCUGUAAGACCGCUGAUAAGGCUCACUAUGGUGAGUUAUGGUCUUUGCUGCCCUCAUGUGGCCACCAUAUUUAACUGCUUCUGCAUAGGAGAGCAUUCUCUCUCCCUGUGCAUGAUGUUGAGUAUUGUGGUACGGACGGGGCAGAGGCCAGACUGUGCCCUGAAUGGCAUGCCUGCGUUUAUGUGUGACCACCGUCCAACCAUCUCUCUGUGGCAAAGCCAUGAUUUAGGAAAUUUUUUGUGAAAAAACAAAAGCAAGGACUUGUUAAAUAAAUUGAAGUCAGGAAGGUAUAACUCAAAGUCUGUCUUGUAUGUUUUUUUGUGUAAUUUUUAUCUAUAAAAUGAAUGUAAAUAUAAUGAAAUAAAAAAAAUUUUUUUAGAAAAUGAAAAUAAAAAAUGUUUUUUAUAUAUAUUUCAAACCAGUUAUAGAGGUGAGAAUGAUCUAAAACUUUACACAAGUGUUCUCCAACCCUGUGAUCAGUAAUUCUUUAUCUAUAAAAUGAAUGUAAAUAUAAACCAAUCAAAUAAAAAAUAAAAAAAAAAAAAUUUUUUUAGAAAAUGAAAAUUUAAACAAAUCAAAAUAACAAACUUUUUUUUUUUUUUCAAAAUUGAAAAUAGAGAUAUUUUUUUGUACAUAUGUGUGUGAAAAAUUCAAAAAUGAACAAGCCGUUGCAACGUUUCGGUUCUCUUGGAACCUUCUUCAGGCAGGCUUGUUCUAAUCUUGAAACCAAUGAGCUCCAAAAAUGAAUCAAUAUUGAAAAAUAAAACAAUGAAAAGAAACCAAUGUGUAUUUAGGAUCAGAAUAUAAGGUUUUGGAAUGCAAAAAGUGUUAGAGGCUUUCUCUCUAAAGAGCUGGAAGCAAUGAAUAAAAUUCUGCAUCCUCAGUUGUUCCUUUUUAUAAUGUGGGGGGCGGGACUCAAUUUGAAUGAGCCAAUAGGAGCCUUUUCCAUGCUCCAGUUUAAAAAGAAACAGCUCCAAACCAAUCAGAAAAAAGCUGUCUUUUCCAAAAAAUGACAAAAUGUUUUUUAUUAAUAUCUGGAUAUAAAUAAGUGAUGUUGAUGUUAAUAAAUGAAAAAAUAAAAUAAAUAAAAUAAUAAACCCAUCUUUCCAUGUUCCCCAAAGUUUGUGUUUAUUAAAAUUAUUAUACCGAUUCUAAAAAGGAAGUUGUGGACAGUUGAGUUUACUGCAAACAUGAGGCACGGGCCGA